UACGUAGGCAGCGAGCGUUGUUCGGAGUUACUGGGCGUAAAGGGUGUGUAGGCGGUUGUUUAAGUUUGGUGUGAAAUCUCCCGGCUCAACUGGGAGGGUGCGCCGAAUACUGAAUGACUAGAGUGCGGGAGAGGAGAGUGGAAUUCCUGGUGUAGCGGUGAAAUGCGUAGAUAUCAGGAGGAACACCGGCGGUGUAGACGGCUCUCUGGACCGUAACUGACGCUGAGACACGAAAGCGUGGGUAGCAAACAGG
rnacentral:rRNA from 2 species